CUCUCUCUCAAAUUUCUCUACAUCGCUGCCGCUAGGGGUGCCGUCCACCACCACCCACACCUCGACACCGUUGCUAGUCCUCCGUCGAAGCCUCCUUCUCCUCCACUUAAGGUCAAGCGAUACAAACACGCCCUGGAGGUUGUUGAGAUCACAAAGGGAAGUAAGGUAAAAUAUGAGCUUGACAAGAAGACAGGACUAAUUAAGGUAUUGACUAUUUCAUCCUCUUAAAUGGAAGAUUUUAGUGCUAGUUUGAAAAGUAUAUUCUUUCGGCGUUACGUUGAAGCAUACUUAACUAGAAAAGGUUGGUUCAAAAUGCUUCUAGUCCAAACACUUUUUUGGGUGUUUCUGCUGAAUGAGGACAGUAAGAUCUUUGGAAGGGUUUUUGAGUUAUACUUCUAUUUUGGGAGAAUCUUAGUUCUUGCAUUU